ACAUAAAAUCCAUACCCGCUCCACCACCCAUUACGGGUAGGAUUUUAAUCCUCAUCAAACGUAGACCCAUCACCGCCAAACGUAGACCCAUCACCGCCCCACUUGGGCUGAAAUGGGACGAGUCUCCUACUUGACCUGCGCCACUGCCAUCCCUAUUACCAACCAACCCACAUCCUGCACUUUUUCCCCGCAAAUGCAAAGCGAAAGACUGAAGAGUGAGACUGAGAGAGAGAGGAGACAGAAAAGUUGAGAGAUGGAAGAAGGUCUUGGCAAUGGUGAAUAAGGUCUUCCUCACGAUUUAAUUGCCCACCACAUUUUAACGAAGCUGCCCAUCAAAUCUCUGCUUCGGUUAAAAAUCGUUUCCAAAGAAUGGUAUUCCACUAUCUCUUCUUCUCAAUUUGCUCUUACUUUUUCCAAAUUAUCUCCAUCUCUUCAUCACACUUCCCCAAUUGAAUUCCUGUUCAUUACAAAUGGAGGCAAUUAUUACCUAUAUUCAUAUGAUGAAGAUGAUGAAAUUGAUACUUCAUAUAUUAGGAACAAGAAUCUAGUAAAAUUAGGGUUUAAUUUUGACGUUUCUAUCUAUGAGAAGCUUGAUUUGAUAGGCUCCUGUAAUGGGUUUGUAUGCUUAGCUUCUUCUGAUGGCAAUUACUUCAUUCUGUGGAACCCAAUUACUGGGCAAUUCCGAAAAUACUUUGACAAUGAACUUGUAAUUGAUUCUUCUUGCCCUGUUCGGAUGUCGUGGGGAUUCGGGUAUGUCUCCGGUGUCAAUGAUUAUAAGGUUGUUAGAAUACUUGAACUGGCUGCUACCCUAGAAAUUAAGGUUCAUGUUUUUUCACUUAAAUCAAACAAGUGGAAAAGAAUCGACGAAUAUCAUUAUCAAGAUAUCUUCUCAUUGAGUUAUAUGUCGCCAAGCAAAUUUCGAUUUAUUCAUAAUGGCACUUUUGCUUGGUUUCCCUCGAAGUUCGAUGGGAGACAAGGAGUUAUGGUUGAUGAGACUCUAUAUUGGGUUGUAUACAGUAGUAACAAUCAGGGUAGGAACAUUGUUUCGUUUGAUUUAGUUUCUGAGGAGUUCAAUACAACUGUGGACUUGAACAUGGUUUCAACUUGUGUGUAUGAUGGCAAGUUUUUAUGUGUCUUGGGAGGAUGUUUGUCGAAGUGUGCCGUCAACAUGCGUUGUGAUGUUUUUAUAAGAAUGUUGAAGUCUCCGGGGAAGGUUGAAAGUAUACGUCUUUCCAGAGACUUGGGGUUGAGCUUAUGCCAGGACAUUGUUGGAUUCACAAGGACUGGUAAGUUUUUCAUCCUGUUGGAUAAUUGGAUACUCGGACUUGUGGACCCAAGUUCACAUCCAGUGAAGUGCGUGCGGCUCGUAGUAUUUAAUAGCUUGACUAUGUCUCGUGUUGCAAGUUAUGUUCCAAGUCUAACUUUACCUUACACCAUUAACGAGUAGUGAGGUUCUUAGCUUUCAUUGGCAUUAUGCGUAACCAAUGAAGCACGUCAGGUCCGGCAGUGAGGAGUUCCUUCUUUGACGAUGCCGACUUCAGAGUCACUAUCGUAAAAGCGAGGGAAUGACAGUUUGCUGCAACAUACUUUGAACAGGAUGAGGAAAAAUAAUUCUUAAUACUUCGAAAUGUGACUAACGAACUAGAGUGGGUAGUAUAUGAAGAUAUGUGGAUAAAAACUCUCACAAAAGGCACAAUCUGAUGUUUUCUUUGUAUGCUCUAACCAUGUACUAGUGCAAUCUCUCAUGUAUUCCUUGCUGCUUUAGCACCUUUUUCAUAAUUAUGCUACAAUCUUUUGUUUCCACAUAAUGCUUAUAUCAAUUAUCAGUGGUUGUCAGUUGGCACUAUUGUUUGGUA